CCUACGGGGGGCAGCAGUGAGGAAUAUUGGUCAAUGGACGAGAGUCUGAACCAGCCAAGUCGCGUGAAGGAUGACUGCCCUAUGGGUUGUAAACUUCUUUUAUAUGGGAAUAAAAUGUUCCACGUGUGGGAUUUUGUAUGUAACAUAUGAAUAAGGAUCGGCUAACUCCGUGCCAGCAGCCACGGUAAGACGGAGGAUCCGAGCGUUAUCCGGAUUUAUUGGGUUUAAAGGGAGCGUAGGUGGAUUGUUAAGUCAGUUGUGAAAGUUUGCGGCUCAACCGUAAAAGUGCCGUUGAAACUGGCAGUCUUGAGUACAGUAGAGGUGUGCGGAAUUCGUGGUGUAGCGGUGAAAUGCUGAGAUAUCACGAAGAACUCCGAUUGCGAAGGCAGUUCACUGGACUGCAACUGACGCUGAGGCUCGAAAGUGUGGGUAUCAAACAGGAUUAGAUACCCGGGUAGUC
rnacentral:rRNA from 1 species